GAUGAACGCUGGCGGCGUGCCUAAUACAUGCAAGUCGAGCGAACAGACGAGGAGCUUGCUCCUCUGACGUUAGCGGCGGACGGGUGAGUAACACGUGGAUAACCUACCUAUAAGACUGGGAUAACUUCGGGAAACCGGAGCUAAUACCGGAUAAUAUAUUGAACCGCAUGGUUCAAUAGUGAAAGACGGUUUUGCUGUCACUUAUAGAUGGAUCCGCGCCGCAUUAGCUAGUUGGUAAGGUAACGGCUUACCAAGGCAACGAUGCGUAGCCGACCUGAGAGGGUGAUCGGCCACACUGGAACUGAGACACGGUCCAGACUCCUACGGGAGGCAGCAGUAGGGAAUCUUGCGCGAUGGGCGAAAGCCUGACGGAGCAACGCCGCGUGAGUGAUGAAGGUCUUCGGAUCGUAAAACUCUGUUAUUAGGGAAGAACAAAUGUGUAAGUAACUAUGCACGUCUUGACGGUACCUAAUCAGAAAGCCACGGCUAACUACGUG
rnacentral:rRNA from 1 species